AAUUAGAAGCCCUCUACGUUGCUGAGUCACUUCAGGGAAGAGGGCUGCCCUGAGGAGUCACUCAACUUCCUCUGGACUCUGCAUGAACCAGAAAUAGGGUACCUGAUUUCAAGAUUCAAGGCCACCAUUUAGGCUUAGAUUUCACCUCUUGCCCCAAGAAUGUAGACCAUCUGAGAUCUAAAGGUGAAUGGCGAAAUAAACUGGCACAGUCAUACCAUGGAAUGCAGCAAUAAAAAUGAGUAAGCUAUUGAUACACACAAGAACUUGGAUGGCUCUUUCAAGGACAUUAUGUGGAGUGUGAAAAGGCAAAUGAUUCACUCAUCUCAGCCUCAUCCUGGACCUAGGAAAUAACCACUUGGCACACAUAUAGGCACAGAGCUUUCGAAGUCAAAUUAUUUUACAUGAUUAUGGAAAGAAGAUUCUCUGCCCUCUGCCCCUCUCAACUUUCACCACUGUACAGAAGUAAUCAUCUUGAAGAAUUUUCCAAUCUUUUCUCAGUUUGAGCGAAUAAUGAAAAUUUUAUCAUAUGCUUCAUACGCAUCAUUUCAAAUCUUCUUGACCUCACCUCAACUCCAACCACUGCUGAAGAAACCAACUCUGUUUCCUGCAGGCACAACUUGACAGCACCUUGUUUCUAAGAUGUGCUUCAUUCUUUUUCUUCCUGCCUUGGGGCUCAGAGAUAAUGCACAAGCAACCUGGAGGUGGGGGAUUUGUUAAACUCUAUAGGGCCAGAUUUGACCAUUGAUAGAUAAUGUUUCCCCCAAUUUUCUCCAUGGAUGAAAGUCUUGGUUGUUCCAUCAAGCAAGCAAGACACACUAGUCAAAGUAUUGGGCUGUGGUUGAAAAAAUUCUGCAUUGAGUGGUGGAAGAUGAAGAAGAUGGAUAUAAAUUCUUCUAAAAGAAACUAGUAAGUUACAGGCAGGAUUAAUAGAGGUCUUAUGUGCAAAAAAAGGGAAGUAAAUUUUUACUCUAUUUUCCAUUAGUCAGUAAACCUCUUGACUUUUUCAUUUUAUCCCGUGAUUCACAUUUUAAGAAUUUGAAUGAGUGGAUCUAGAUAUAGGCACCUAAUACUGUAGAUUUUAUUGUUGUCAUUGGGAAAACAAUCGAAGAAACUUGGGAUACCUAACUGAACAAAACAACAAGACCACAAAGAUUUAGGUGAAAGGCAAUAAUAGCACUUCAAAUAUUUUAAUAGAUGUUUUUAAACAAAGCACAUAAAGUGAAAGGGAAUGAGUUAGUAUAUCAUAAAGAGAAAAGGCAAAGUCUUUAAGAAGAAGCGUAAAUGAAUCCUUCCUAAACCGUUUAAUCAAAAUUAACUUGCUUUGACCACUAUUUUUUUUAUGUUUAUUAUCACACUUUAACAAAACAUAUGAAUAUUGUUCAAAUAUUUAACUCUUAAAUUACAUGUUGAGAUUAUCAUGGAUAGUUUUUUCCCCCAUUCUUACUUCUAUCCCUAGAUCCUACUAUUGUACUUGGAGUUUACUAGAAACUAAAUAAAUGAAUGAGAGAUUGAAUGAACCAAUAUUAAUCUGUCAAAAAAAUGAAUCAGAUUGAUUUUGAACUAAGCCUCAAAAUUUGAUAUUACCCUAUAACUGAGAAGAUAAGUUUGUAUAAUAUUAUGGCUAUUGUGUAUGGAAUAAAAUAGAAAGCAAAACAAAUUUUAAAAUAGUAAAGCUAGUAAAAGUGAGGAAAUCUAAAUAAAAAUAGUUCCUAAGAUGGGGCUGGCCCUGUGGCCGAGCGGUUAAGUUAGCGCACUCUGCUUCGGCAGUGCAGGGUUUCUCCAGUUUGAAUCCUGGACUCAGACAUGG
rnacentral:lncRNA from 1 species